CCUACGGGAGGCAGCAGUGGGGAAUAUUGCGCAAUGGGGGAAACUCUGACGCAGCGACGCCGCGUGAGCGAUGAAGGUUUUCGGUUUGUAAAGCUCUAUCGGCUGUGACGAAGAUGACGGUAGCAACUAAAGAAGCACCGGCUAACUACGUGCCAGCAGCCGCGGUAAUACGUAGGGGGCAAGCGUUGUCCGGAAUUACUGGGCGUAAAGGGAGAGUAGGCGGCAGAGUAAGUCAGUGGUGAAAGGCAAGGGCUCAACUUUUGGAUUGCUAUGGUAACUAUGCUACUGGAAUGACGGAGAGGCGAGUGGAAUACCUAGUGUAGAGGUGAAAUGCGUAGAUAUUGGGAAGAACACCAGUGGCGAAGGCGACUAGCUGGCCGUUCAUUGACGUUGAGGCUCGAAAGCAUGGGGAGCAAACAGGAUUAGAUACCCUUGUAGUC
rnacentral:rRNA from 1 species